rnacentral:rRNA from 1 species
UACGUAGGUGGCAAGCGUUGUCCGGAUUUACUGGGCGUAAAGAGCUUGUAGGCGGUUUGUCGCGUCGUUUGUGAAAACUUGGGGCUCAACCCCAAGCUUGCAGGCGAUACGGGCAGACUAGAGUACUUCAGGGGAGACUGGAAUUCCUGGUGUAGCGGUGAAAUGCGCAGAUAUCAGGAAGAACACCCGUGGCUAAGGCGGUUCUCUAGUACGGUACUGACGCUGAGACGCGAAAGCGUGGGGAGCGAACAGG